UACAGAGGGGGCGAGCGUUGUUCGGAAUUACUGGGCGUAAAGGGCGCGUAGGCGGCUUGACAAGUCAAAGGUGAAAUCCCUCGGCUCAACUGAGGAACUGCCUUUGAAACUGUCUGGCUUGAGGCCGGGAGGGGGUAGCGGAAUUCCCAGUGUAGCGGUGAAAUGCGUAGAUAUUGGGAGGAACACCAGUGGCGAAGGCGGCUACCUGGACCGGUUCUGACGCUGAUGCGCGAAAGCGUGGGUAGCAAACAGG
rnacentral:rRNA from 1 species